GAAAUGCGAUAAGUAAUGUGAAUUGCAGAAUUCAGUGAAUCAUCGAAUCUUUGAACGCAUCUUGCGCUCCUUGGUAUUCCUUGGAGCAUGCCUGUUUGAGUAUCAUGAAAUCUUCAAAGUAAAUCUUUUGUUAACUCAAUUGGUUUCUACUUUGGUAUUGGAGGUCUUUGCAGCUUCACACCUGCUCCUCUUUGUUCAUUAGCUGGAUCUCAGUGUUAUGCUUGGUUCCGCUCGGCGUGAUAAGUUAUCUAUCGCUGAGGACACUGUAAAAGGUGGCCAAGGUAAAAGCAGAUGAACCGCUUCUAAUAGUCCAUUGACUUGGACAAUACUUUUAUGAUCUGAUCUCAAAUCAGGUAGGACUACCCGCUGAACUUAAGC
rnacentral:misc_RNA from 1 species